UGCAUAUCAUAAGCGGAGGAAAAGAAACCAACAGGGAUUGCCUCAGUAGCGGCGAGUGAAGCGGCAAGAGCUCAGAUUUGAAAUCGUGCUUUGCGGCACGAGUUGUAGAUUGCAGGUUGGAGUCUGUGUGGAAGGCGGUGUCCAAGUCCCUUGGAACAGGGCGCCCAGGAGGGUGAGAGCCCCGUGGGAUGCCGGCGGAAGCAGUGAGGCCCUUCUGACGAGUCGAGUUGUUUGGGAAUGCAGCUCCAAGCGGGUGGUAAAUUCCAUCUAAGGCUAAAUACUGGCGAGAGACCGAUAGCGAACAAGUACUGUGAAGGAAAGAUGAAAAGCACUUUGAAAAGAGAGUGAAACAGCACGUGAAAUUGUUGAAAGGGAAGGGUAUUGCGCCCGACAUGGGGAUUGCGCACCGCUGCCUCUCGUGGGCGGCGCUCUGGGCUUUCCCUGGGCCAGCAUCGGUUCUUGCUGCAGGAGAAGGGGUUCUGGAACGUGGCUCUUCGGAGUGUUAUAGCCAGGGCCAGAUGCUGCGUGCGGGGACCGAGGACUGCGGCCGUGUAGGUCACGG
rnacentral:rRNA from 1 species